rnacentral:lncRNA from 1 species
GAGGGGAAAGGCAUAGAGAAAAAGGGGAGAAGACACUCUUGCAAAAGAAGGGAGAAACAGAAGCAAUAGCUCCUUACAUUUCCUCAGAAAGGGAGAGUGAGAAAGCUUGAUUAUUUUCUAGGAAAUGGUAUGUAGAAAGGUUUGGCAGGAGGUGAGUUUAUGAGGGAAUUUGAAAGUAUUAAAGGGAAAAUUACUUCUCUGAAAAAGCAAGAAGAGUACAGAGACACAAGAGCCAAGGAGAAGAAAGUUUUGUUAUGAACAUGCUUGAAGUUUUGCCGACAUUCUGGACAUAUGUAAACAGAGUGCUCAAUGGAACAUCUGUCUGCUGCAGCCACUACUUCCUUCAUUGGACUGCAAGGUAUUUCUGUUUGGAAAAGUAAUGGAGUCCAGUCAACUUCAUUGAUCGCCAAGGACUGUCAAAAUUAUAAAACUUGCUGUGGAGCUCUGACAUGCCAGAAGCCGCUAGAAAAAGAAGUUUGACAUUCAGAAACUUAUCAAGAGGUUCUACUCUUUGGAUAGAGACCAAAAUCAUACUUUGAAAAAGCCUGACAGGUUUCUUCGGAAAAGUGGCCAUCCAUGGAAUGAAUGAAAUGUUCUCUUUCUAUUCCAGGGAUUGCAGUGGCAAAGCUAGGCUAGGUCUUGGAGGCUGGUGUAAGGCGAUGUGGGUGAAGGCAGGAGGCUGAUGGAAAGACUGGGGGGAAGAAAAGCCGAAAUGGAUUCACGGUGCCUUGGAUGAAGGACGAGAGGGGAACUGCAAGCUCCUUCAACUGGUUCUGUCCGGUGAGAAGUGAUCAAGCUUGGGCUGACAAGAGGCUCAGGGAGCCCUCACGUUCUUUCGCUUUUUUACCUGCCAAUCAAACUGCUACAAGACAACACCCUGAUCUGGCAUGGACAUUCAUUGCAGUCACCUGGAGUCACGGAAAUGACCAUGAUUGCCUGAACUUUCAUGACUUCUGUGGAUAACUGUGGUUGCAGAAAAGAGAAAACCUGGACCGUGAGGGACAUUUCACUCCCUGGGCUUUGGUACAUGGCCUCCCUACAGCGUUGGCUCAGCUCUAGCUACUUGGAAGGUCGUGGCAAUGCUGUCUCAGAAUGUCCGUUUCUAGAGUACAGAGAAGAAAUUCUAGCUUGACGUCCACGUGCAUUUGUCUGUGUUUCAGAGGAAAUUCCAAUUCUAAACUCUUGGAAGAAACAAUUUCUCGGCAUGCUGAAGAGAAUUGCUGUUUUUUGGCACCUGAAACACUUUUACCCAAGGGUUCUGAUUAUUUAAAUAAUUGGUAUGCUAUAAAUAUUCUGGUUGACAGAAAUGUGGUUUAAUGUAGAUGAGUUGUAAAAACAUGAGACAAACAUGCUCCAGGCUAAAAAUAUCUGGAUUAAAAAAGAAAAAGAAAAGAAGAGGUGGGAGAAGAGAGAGAGGAAGG